rnacentral:rRNA from 1 species
AUUGAACGCUGGCGGCAGGCCUAACACAUGCAAGUCGAGCGGAGCGGCGGACGGGUGAGGAAUGCCUAGGAAUCUGCCUGGGCGUGGGGGAUACCGUCCGGAACCGGGCGCUUAUACCGCAUACUAUCAGAUGAGCCUAGGGCGGAUUAGAUAGUUGGUGGGGUAAAGGCCUACCAAGGCGACGAUCACAAGCUGGUCUGAGAGGAUGAUCAGUCACACUGGAACUGAGACACGGUCCAGACUCCUACGGGAGGCAGCAGUGGGGAAUAUUGGACAAUGGGCGAAAGCCUGAUCCAGCCAUGCCGCGUGUGUGAAGAAGGUCUUCGGAUUGUAAAGCACUUUAAGUUGGGAGGCGUUACCAACAGAAUAAGCACCGGCUAACUUCGUGCCAGCCGCCGCGGUAAUAC